rnacentral:rRNA from 1 species
GACGAACGCUGGCGGCGUGCUUAACACAUGCAAGUGGAGCGACGAACCGGGGCUUGCCCCGGGGCAGAGCCGCGAACGGGUGAGUAACACGUGGGUAACCUACCCCGAUGACCGGGACAACCCGAGGAAACUCGGGCUAAUACCGGAUAGGCAGCGAAGAGGCAUCUCUUUGCUGAGAAAGGCGCUACGGCGUCACUGUCAGAUGGGCCCGCGGCGCAUUAGCUAGUUGGUGAGGUAACGGCCCACCAAGGCGACGAUCCGUAGCUGGUCUGAGAGGAUGAUCAGCCACACUGGAACUGAGACACGGUCCAGACUCCUACGGGAGGCAGCAGUGGGGAAUAUUGGACAAUGGGCGCAAGCCUGAUCCAGCCAUGCCGCGUGUGUGAAGAAGGCCUCCGGGUUGUAAAGCACUUUUGUCCGGAAAGAAAUCCAAUCGAUUAAUACUCGGUUGGGAUGACGGUACCGGAAGAAUAAGCACCGGCUAACUUCGUGCCAGCCGCCGCUGUAACAC